rnacentral:tRNA from 1 species
AGGGAUGUAGCUCAGAGGUAGAGCACUUGCCUAGCAUAUGGGAAACUGGGUUCGAUCCCCAGCACCACAA